rnacentral:rRNA from 1 species
AGCAGCCGCGGUAAUUCCAGCUCCAAUAGCGUAUAUUAAAGUUGUUGCAGUUAAAAAGCUCGUAGUUGAAUUUUGGAUUCUGCCUAUUGGUCCGUCUUUUAGAUGAGUACUGAUAGUGUAGGGUCUAUCCGCCUGAUGAUACGGAAUGUUCUUUAUUGAAUGUUGCGGGUAGUCAGGACUUUUACCUUGAAAAAUUAGAGUGUUUAAAGCAGGCAUAUGCCGGAAUACAUUAGCAUGGAAUAAUAGAAUAGGACGAAGUUGUUUUAUUUUGUUGGUUUCUAGGACAACCGUAAUGAUUAAUAGGGAUAGUUGGGGGCAUUAGUAUUCAAUUGUCAGAGGUGAAAUUCUUGGAUUUAUUGAAGACUAACUACUGCGAAAGCAUUUGCCAAGGAUGUUUUCAUUAAUCAAGAACGAAAGUUAGGGGAUCGAAGACGAUCAGAUACCGUCGUAGUCUUAACCAUAAACUAUGCCGACUAGGGAUCGGGCGAUGUUGUUUCCAUGACUCGCUCGGCACCGUU